UGCGAGUGUACAACAACUUCACCUUUUGACCUUCACAUGGAAACAGAACCACUGUUGUCAUGGCAACAAGCCCCAGCUGACAAAGUUACAGGGCUGCAUCUCAGUACUCAGUCCAAUACUGGCUGCAUCUCAGUACUCAGUCCAAUACUGGCUGCAUCUCAGUACUCAGUCCAAUACUGGCUGUGUCUCAGUACUCAGUCCAAUACCGGCUGCAUCUCAGUACUCAGUCCAAUACUGGCUGUGUCUCAGUACUCAGUCCAAUACUGGCUGCGUCUCAGUACUCAGUCCAAUACCGGCUGCAUCUCAGUACUCAGUCCAAUACUGGCUGCGUCUCAGUACUCAAUCCAAUACUGGCUGUGUCUCAGUACUCAGUCCAAUACUGGCUGUGUCUCAGUACUCAGUCCAAUACUGGCUGUGUCUCAGUACUCAGUCCAAUACUGGCUGCGCUCCAGAUAAAGUGGGGAGGUAAGGAAGCCUUUCAAGACAUGAGAUGUAGUCCGGGACUAUAUUUUAUAAUGAGAUAUAAGGCACAAACAUAUCCCCUUGUGUUGGUUUAUUAAGAGAACGUGUGUGUGUAUUAUCAGCAGGAUAAAGGUUGUUUAUUAAGAGAACGUGUGUCAGCAGGAUAAAGGUUGUUUAUUAAGAGAACGUGUGUGUAUUAUCAGCAGGAUAAAGGUUGUUUAUUAAGAGAACGUGUGUGUAGUAUCAGCAGGAUAAAGGUUGUUUAUUAAGAGAACGUGUGUGUAGUAUCAGCAGGAUAAAGGUUGUUUAUUAAGAGAACGUGUGUCAGCAGGAUAAAGGUUGUUUAUUAAGAGAACGUGUGUGUAUUAUCAGCAGGAUAAAGGUUGUUUAUUAAGAGAACGUGUGUGUAGUAUCAGCAGGAUAAAGGUUGUUUAUUAAGAGAACGUGUGUCAGCAGGAUAAAGGUUGUUUAUUAAGAGAACGUGUGUGUAUUAUCAGCAGGAUAUUAAGAGAACGUGUGUGUAGUAUCAGCAGGAUAAAGGUUGUUUAUUAAGACAACGUGUGUGUAGUAUCAGCAGGAUAAAGGUUGUUUAUUAAGAGAACGUGUGUCAGCAGGAUAAAGGUUGUUUAUUAAGAGAACGUGUGUGUAUUAUCAGCAGGAUAAAGGUUGUUUAUUAAGAGAACGUGUGUGUAGUAUCAGCAGGAUAAAGGUUGUUUAUUAAGACAACGUGUGUGUAGUAUCAGCAGGAUAAAGGUUGUUUAUUAAGAGAACGUGUGUGUAUUAUCAGCAGGAUAAAGGUUGUUUAUUAAGAGAACGUGUGUGUAGUAUCAGCAGGAUAAAGGUUGUUUAUUAAGAGAACGUGUGUGUAGUAUCAGCAGGAUAAAGGUUGUUUAUUAAGAGAACGUGUGUGUAUUAUCAGCUGGAUAAAGGUUGUUUAUUAAGACAACGUGUGUGUGUAGUAUCAGCAGGAUAAAGGUUGUUUAUUAAGAGAACGUGUGUGUAGUAUCAGCAGGAUAAAGGUUGUAUGGUGUGAGUGUAGCACAUGGGGGAUGUGGGAAACUUACUCCUCAGCCUGAAGUGUCACCUCUUGUGCAGCCGAGUUGUUAACGCUUCGAUGGCGCCGACUGGAAAGACGCUUCGGGAGGGUGGUCACGUGUGCUAGCGAAGCAGAUGUCCUGGGUUCGAGCGUCCGUGUGAGCCCGAUCAGGAGGAAGAGGUACUCGCUGAGUCAGCAGAGUGACGUCAGUUAUCAGAAUGCUGCUGUUACCUUGGUUUACCUCUAUGAACUGAACUGGAAAAGACACUGAAUCAACUGUCAAAGGACUUCUGGCCUUUUCUCUGCUUAAAGCACAUGAUAUCAUAAUGUCUGGUAUGUGAAUAUUGAAUAAGAUAUUAUUUCAGAAAAUGUCAAGGUACAUGUAUAUAAGAAUAUUAUAUACUUUGACGUGUCCAUCUAUUUAAAUAUUUUAACAACAGUGAACACUAACCUGGUGUUUGUUGGUUGAAGCAAAAAUAUUAACUUACUAAUUUAAUCUUGGUUUCUCAAAGAAAACAUCCUAUUUCUACAUUGUGACUCUCAGUAAUAAUGUAAUUUAAGGUCAGAUUUGAUCAUCAUUCGUGUACAUUCUAUAUUCAUUUGUAUAUUCAGCUUUAUGGUUUUAAUAAAAAAUAUUGUCUUCUA